UACAGAGGUCCCGAGCGUUGUUCGGAUUUACUGGGCAUAAAGGGUGCGUAGGUGGCGGGGUAAGUCAGGUGUGAAAUUUCGGAGCUUAACUCCGAAACUGCAUUUGAUACUGCCUUGCUUGAGGACUGGAGAGGAGACUGGAAUUCACGGUGUAGCGGUGGAAUGCGCAGAUAUCAGGAGGAACACCGGUGGCGAAGGCGGGUCUCUGGGCCGUAACUGACGCUGAGGAGCGAAAGCAUGGGGAGCGAACAGG
rnacentral:rRNA from 1 species